AGAGUUUGAUCCUGGCUCAGGACGAACGCUGGCGGCGUGCUUAACACAUGCAAGUCGAACGGAAAGGCCCCUUCGGGGGUACUCGAGUGGCGAACGGGUGAGUAACACGUGGGUGAUCUGCCCUGCAUUUUGGGAUAAGCCUGGGAAACUGGGUCUAAUACCGAAUAGGACCGCAUGCUUCAUGGUGUGUGGUGGAAAGCUUUUGCGGUGUGGGAUGGGCCCGCGGCCUAUCAGCUUGUUGGUGGGGUAAUGGCCUACCAAGGCGACGACGGGUAGCCGGCCUGAGAGGGUGUCCGGCCACACUGGGACUGAGAUACGGCCCAGACUCCUACGGGAGGCAGCAGUGGGGAAUAUUGCACAAUGGGCGCAAGCCUGAUGCAGCGACGCCGCGUGGGGGAUGACGGCCUUCGGGUUGUAAACCUCUUUCAGUAUCGGCGAAGCUCCAGGAUUUUUCUUGGGGUGACGGUAGGUACAGAAGAAGCACCGGCCAACUACGUGCCAGCAGCCGCGGUAAUACGUAGGGUGCGAGCGUUGUCCGGAAUUACUGGGCGUAAAGAGCUCGUAGGUGGUUUGUCACGUUGUCUGUGAAAACUCACAGCUUAACUGUGGGCGUGCGGGCGAUACGGGCAGACUGGAGUACUGUAGGGGAGACUGGAAUUCCUGGUGUAGCGGUGGAAUGCGCAGAUAUCAGGAGGAACACCGGUGGCGAAGGCGGGUCUCCGGGCAGUAACUGACGCUGAGGAGCGAAAGCGUGGGGAGCGAACAGGAUUAGAUACCCUGGUAGUCCAA
rnacentral:rRNA from 1 species